CGCAAAACCCCUCCGGGACGGCCAAUAGCUAUGCUGAGCUUAAGUACACCCGUUGCCGACUCACCAUUGCGCCGCACUUUAAACUGCCUGCACUGGGCAGGCUGCGAGGACAGCGGCGUGUAAAAAUGAAUACAUGCGGAGGAGCCGGUAUUGGCCAUUAUACCGGCUCCACGUGUGUCCAGACACACCGCGCCUCACAACGCUCACCCACUAGACAGCCCCGCGUUCCCACGACAGCGCCCUCAACACACAAACGACUGCAUCUGCUCCAGCCACUGUUUCUCAGUUGCUGAACCCUCUCGAGGAAGAAUGCUUUGUGUUCUUUUGAUCUGAAGAAUGGUGCCAAAGCAGGAUGCUUGCCCUUGUCACUGUUCGUACUGUAUCUUGUGUGUUUGUGUACUGAAGAAAAAGCCCCUCUUUUGGAUAAAGCCUUAAAUAUGUU